UACAGAGGUCCCAAGCGUUGUUCGGAUUCACUGGGCGUAAAGGGUGCGUAGGCGGUCGGGUAAGUCUGAUGUGAAAUCUCACAGCUUAACUGUGAAACUGCAUUGGAUACUAUCCGGCUCGAGGAAUGGAGGGGAGACUGGAAUACUUGGUGUAGCAGUGAAAUGCGUAGAUAUCAAGUGGAACACCAGUCGGCGAAGGCGAGUCUCUGGACAUUUCCUGACGCUGAGGCACGAAAGCCAGGGGAGCAAACGGG
rnacentral:rRNA from 1 species